ensembl:snRNA U6 U6 spliceosomal RNA
CUACUUUGGCAAUACAUAUAAUAAAAUUGGAACAAUAUAGAGAAGAUUAGCAUGGCCCCUGUGUAAGGAUGAUAUGCAAAUUUGUGAAGCAUUCCGUAUUGGA